UCUCGAUUUCAGAAGAGCUAUGUUAAUAAUUCAGUUAAUGUGGAAUAAUUAUUGAUAAUAUAACAUAGGUGGGAUAUCUAAUUCGUUUUUGAAGGUAUCUGGUUUCUUAAUAAUUAAAUUUAAUUUAUUCUUUAUAUUAAAUAUCUUAUUUUUGAGGGUUUUAUAUGUAAAGUUAAAUAUUAUAGGGGAUAAGCUCUGUAUUAUUUCUAUAAUUGUUGUUUAUUUCAUUUUUUGUAGGGUUAUAAUUAUCCAUCAUUAUAAGUGUGUUAUAAUUUAGAUUGUAUUUAAUAUGAUUUUUUUAUAUUUAGUAUUUUAUUAAGAAUAGAGAGUGAAUUUUUUGUUCUGUGAAAUAAUGAUUAAAUUAGUAUAUUUAAUUUGUUUAUAAUAAAUUUAAUGAGAGGAUAAAAUAAGGAAUUCGGCAAAAUAAUUCUCGCCUGUUUAUCAAAAACAUGGCCUCUUGUCUAUUAAUAAGAGGUUGGACCUGCCCAGUSAAUKUUYAACGCGC
rnacentral:rRNA from 1 species